GAUGAACGCUGGCGGCGUGCCUAACACAUGCAAGUCGAGCGAAGCACUUUGCUUAGAUUCUUCGGAUGAAGAGGAUUGUGACUGAGCGGCGGACGGGUGAGUAACGCGUGGGUAACCUGCCUCAUACAGGGGGAUAACAGUUAGAAAUGACUGCUAAUACCGCAUAAGACCACAGCACCGCAUGGUGCGGGGGUAAAAACUCCGGUGGUAUGAGAUGGACCCGCGUCUGAUUAGCUAGUUGGUAAGGUAACGGCUUACCAAGGCGACGAUCAGUAGCCGACCUGAGAGGGUGACCGGCCACAUUGGGACUGAGACACGGCCCAAACUCCUACGGGAGGCAGCAGUGGGGAAUAUUGCACAAUGGGGGAAACCCUGAUGCAGCGACGCCGCGUGAGCGAAGAAGUAUUUCGGUAUGUAAAGCUCUAUCAGCAGGGAAGAAAAUGACGGUA
rnacentral:rRNA from 1 species